rnacentral:misc_RNA from 1 species
AAGUCGUAACAAGGUUUCCGUAGGUGAACCUGCGGAAGGAUCAUUAACACGUAUCCAAACGUUAAAACAACCCUGUGAAUAUUGAAUCUCAGUUCCCCCAGGGCAGAAAAAUGGGCUUCCUCUAGUAAAUCAUUGUCUUAACAAGGUUUUGAGUUAGAGGAUGGCGCACGAGUAGCACCUGUAUUGGGUCGAGCGUUUACAACUAUCCACUCCUGGUGCCCCCAAGCAACCAUCAAUCUGAAAGUGUUUGGUGAAUUGUGCAAGGGCAGCGCAGUCAACGAUCGGUUCGGACUUUCGUCGGGCGCGGUAGACAUGCAUCAUGUUCAACCUGAAUGAACUAGGCCCCACAGGGAGGUAACGACCCCCGGUCGAUGGCCGUCCCUAACCGAACAACUGUUAACAAUGGAUAUCUUGGUUCUC